rnacentral:SRP_RNA from 1 species
GCUGGGCGUGGUGGUGCACGCCUGUAGUCCCAGCUACUUGGGAGGCUGAGGCAGGAGAAUUGCUUGAACCCAGGAAACAGAGGUUGCAGUGAACCAAGAUUGCACCACUGCACUCCAGCCUGGGUGAUAGAGUGAGACUCUGUCUCAA